rnacentral:rRNA from 1 species
UACGAAGGGGGCUAGCGUUGCUCGGAAUCACUGGGCGUAAAGCGCACGUAGGCGGCUUUUUAAGUCAGGGGUGAAAUCCUGGAGCUCAACUCCAGAACUGCCUUUGAUACUGAGAAGCUUGAGUCCGGGAGAGGUGAGUGGAACUGCGAGUGUAGAGGUGAAAUUCGUAGAUAUUCGCAAGAACACCAGUGGCGAAGGCGGCUCACUGGCCCGUAACUGACGCUGAGGUGCGAAAGCGUAGGGAGCAAACAGG